GGAAGGAUCAUCAUUCACCAAAUGAGCAAUAGGGAGCCGUCAAAAGCUCUAUACCAAACUAUUGUUCAUGGCUUUAAUUAGCCAUUUGAGUAUAAUUGUUGAUAAUGGGUUAAGCGUCGCACCAAUGAAACACCUCUGCAAAGAGAACGCUAUAAAUUGAACCCCUCAACUAGCGUGUUUCAUGGAAAGGAUUGAGCGUCAGCUCUCCGAGUGCCCGCAUGUAAUCGGCAAGGUAGUUAGGUUGUCUGAAAAGACGGCUUAUCCUAUCAUGUGGAUUCAAACUUAUAGUGGGGAUCUGUAGGCCUGACGACGGUCCGGUGACACCCUAUACCCGUUAAAUCGCGGAUAGGACACCCACGGUUAGCCCGUCCUUCAUAUGAGGUCAGUCUUCGGACUCGCCCUAUGGUAUGACUGCUAUAAGGAUAAGCUCCACCCUCCGGGGUCGCACUUACAACUGGGCCACUUACCUCUUUACAAGGCGUUCGCGUCUUCAGGGUAAUGCUGGGUUGCCGCACUAGAGCUCUACUGGCGAUUUCAAUAUGAUCGGGCGGUGAAAAAAACGCUGACUAUUGUUUGGCCUUUAGUAGCGGCUAGUGGAAGUUAUGUCAUUGCAAUGCCAUAGGGCACGAAAGUGCCAGCAUAGCGUAGGGCCUUCGCGAUAUGGUUUCGAUCAUAGACGCUAAGUUGAAGGGAUCAACCUUCUCGUCCUUGACUAUGGCUAAUGAUAUAAACAACCUAUAUUCGUUUGUUACCUUUGGGUUUCAUUCGGAUAUUAACAAAACCGAGUAAGUCCCUUAACGAUGGAUGCCUCGGCUCGUGAAGCGAUGAAGGACGCAGCUAGGUGCGAUAAGCACUGUGAAUUGCAGAAUUCCGCGAACCAGUAGAUCUCUGAACGCAUUAUGCGCGAAUGGAUUUAUUCCAUUUGCAGGUGUGUGUCAGCGUUUACUAUGUAAAAUCGCAUAGCAAUAUGCAGCGUGAGACUAUCAAAUUUAUUUGGUUAUCUCAGUUUCGUGAGAUAUUCUCUUAAGUGGGAAUGCUCGCAUGAUAUAGGCGGCUUAAGGAUCUAUGUUCGCAUUGAUCAUUAAGUCAUAAGUAAGACAACAAGUCCCUUUCGCUUUGUGAAAGGAUUUUUGUUAAGGUCUAAUUUGGUUUACCAUUUUAGUUCCAGAGCAAUAUCCAAAUCACGUCGCACCAUAUGUAAUGUAUGGCAUAAAGAUGACAAUGUUGACUUCAUUAACUUGAACCUGAUACACACCAGACAACCCGCUGAAUUUAAGCAUAUAAGUAAGCGGAGGAAAAGAAACUAACUAGGAUUCCCCCAGUAAUGGCGAAUGAACAGGGAAGAGCUCAAUGCCCAAUCGGUCACUCUGUGAUCGAAAUGUGGUUUUGGUAGCACACCAGUGGUGACUCUGAUGUAAGUCCCUUGGAACAGGGCGCCAUAGAGGGUGAUGGCCCCGUUCAUCAUCAGAAGAUCGCUCACGUACGGUUGUUACUUAAUGAGUCGCGUUCCUUGGGAUUGUAGCGCAAAUAUGGGUGGUAAAUUCCAUCCAAAGCUAAAUAUGACCACGAGACCGAUAGCAAACAAGUACCAUGAGGGAAAGGUUAAAAGAGCUCUGAAAAGAGGGUUAAAAGUGCCUGAAAUCGUUAAGGGGGAAGCGAAUGCCAGCUGUUGAAUUUGCGUUCUUGAGGAUUGUGCUUGUUGCUUGUGGUUAUUGUUCAGUCACUUUGGGCAAACUGGGUGGCUGUUCAAUGUACGCUUGUGCUGGUGCGUUUCCUUUUGAGCGUGAUCAGUGCAAUCUUUGAUGUGGGCAGUUACCUUGUUACUGGGUAGUUAACUUCGGUUUUCGACUCGUUUCAGGGGAAUCCUAUGUUGGAGGUUAGGAAUGUGUUGUAACUUAACUGGUGGCAGUUGCUAUGAUUUCGCUGCUAUUCGUCGCUUGCGACGAUUAGUGGUGUCACUGUGGUAACCUGUUGCCAGCAGUUAUUCACAAGGCAUUGAUACCAACGGCGGUAUUUGUCCCGUCUUGAAACACGGACCAAGGAGUCUAACCUGUAUGCGAGUCUAAGGGUGUUAAACCCACGGGCGAAAUGAAAGUGAUUGGAGUGAUUAUUGCCUUCGGGUGAUAUGAUACUCUGGCCGACCUUGAUCUUCGGUGAGAGGUUUGAGUAUGAGCAUACCUGUUAGGACCCGAAAGAUGGUGAACUAUGCCUGAGUAGGGUGAAGCCAGGGGAAACUCUGGUGGAGGCUCGUAGCGAUACUGACGUGCAAAUCGUUCGUCAAACUUGGGUAUAGGGGCGAAAGACUAAUCGAACCAUCUAGUAGCUGGUUCCCUC
rnacentral:misc_RNA from 1 species